rnacentral:lncRNA from 1 species
GCGAGGAGUGCCUGCGCGCCGAGCACCGCCCCCUGCGUGACGUCAGCGUCAGGCCACGCCCCCACGGGGCGCCCGUCGGGAUCCAUUGGGAGCCAUAGGGACCCAUAGAGACCCAUAGGGACUCCAUAGCGACCCCAUAGAGACCAAUAGAGACCCAUAGGGACACACAGAGAGACCCAUAGAGACCCACAAAUACCCCAUAGAGACCCAUAGAGAUACAUAGACACCCCAUAGGGACCCCAUAGGGACCCACAGAGACCCCAUAGAGACCCAUAGAGAUACAUAGACACCCCAUAGAGACCCCAUAGAUACCCAUGGUGACCCCAGAGAGACCCAUAGAGCCCCAUAGAGACCCAUAGGGACCCAUAGAGACAUAUAGAGACCCCAUAGGGACCCAUAGCGACCCCAAAGAGACCCAUGGUGACCCCAGAGAGACCCAUAGAGACCCAUGGUGACCCCAAAGAGACCCAUAGGGACCCAUAGAGCCCAAUAUUGAUCCAUAGAAACCCACAGAGACCCAUAGAGACCCAUAGAGACCCAUAGGGACCCAUAGAGCCCAAUAGUGACCCAUAGAAACACACAGGGACCCAUAGGGACUCAUAGAGACCCAUAGAGAGACCCCAUAAAGACCCACAAAGACCCCAUAGAGACCCAGAGGGUCCCAUUGAGAGACCCAUAGGGAACCAUAGAGCACAACAGUGACCCAUAGAAAACCACAGGGACCCAUAGGAACACAUAGAGCCCAAUAGUGACCCAUAGAGACCCACAGAGACCCAUAGGGACCCAUAGAGACCCAUAGAGACACAUAGAGAGACCCAUAGAGAUCCACAGAGACCCACAGAGACCCCAGAGAGACCCAUAGAGACACAUAGGGACACAUAGAGAGACCCAUAGGGACCCAUAGAGACCCACAAAUACCCAUAAACACCCAUAGAGACCCACAGAGACCCCAUAGAGACACAUAGGGACACAGAGAGAGACCCAUAGAGACCCACAGAGACCCAUGGAGCCCAAUAGUGACCCAUAGAAACACACAGGGACCCAUAGGGACACAUAGAAACCCAUGGAAACCCAGAGAGACCCACAGAGACCCCAUAGAGACCCACAGAGACCCCACAGAGACCCAUAGAGACACAUAGGGACACAUAGAGAGACCCAUAGAGACCCACAGAGACCCCAUAGAGACACAUAGAGACCCAUAGAAACCCAUAGAGACCCAGAGAGACCCACAAAUACCCGUAAACACCCAUAGGUGCCCACAGAGACCCACAGACAACCCAUAGAGACCCAAAGAGACCCCAUAGCGACCCAUAGAGCCCAAUAGUGACCCACAGGGACCCAUAGAGACCCAUAGAGACCCACAUAGACCCCAUAGUGACCCAUAGAGCCCAAUAGUGACCCACAGGGACCCAUAGAGACCCACAGGGACCCAUAGAGACCCACAGACCCC